rnacentral:lncRNA from 1 species
GUCACAUGAUGGACAUGAUAUAAUGAAACAACAUUGUGGAGAGGAAAGCAUUAGGGGAGCCCACGGCUACAAAAACAAGUGAGUGAGAAGAGGUGGGAGGAAGAGAAACUACGCCACCUCCCCUGCAGCCGAGUGCACGCAGCAGCCUGGCGUGACAAGUGGGCGACGCCGGGGGGCAGGGAGCCGGGGUCCUUGGCCCUGGCCGGGGACCCCACCGCCCACCGCGCGGAGGACAACUUUUAGCCGGCAGCCCAGACCAGCGCGGCACCUGUCUCCGGAGUCUCCACCGCUCCUCCCGAUUCAUCCCAGGGAAAUUCUCAAGAAUACGCUCUACAAAUCUACGUGCGCAUCAUUUUCACCUCGCGUCGCGCCCGGGAGGAAGGAACGAGGCAAGGAGCUAAAGCAGCGUGCGUUCAGCCCUGGGGCAUUUUAUUAAUGCUUUUACGAGUUAGAAGAGUUGGGAUAAUUUGCCAUCUGGAGUUUCUCUGCCUUGCUGAUCUGAGCUCAGACCUGCCAAUUUACCAGAGAUAAUUGAUAACACCCUGUAACAGCUGAGAGGAAAAUGGAAGAAACGGAGAUACUUUUAGUGAAGCAGAAUAAACCACUGAACAGGAAAAAUGAGGAAGCUGUGAGUACCAGUGGAAGGAACGAGCCAGGAAGAGGGACUGGAACCAUCUCAGAAGCCAUGCCCCUCAGGCUGGAACUUGCCCUGUCUCCUCGCAGAUGAGGUAGGAGGCUCAGCACGGGCUGGUGGGAGCAGCCCACAGCAGCAGUGAGGGUCAGUGGGCCUGUGAGUUAAGAAGAAGGUGGCACAGAGCGAGGGUCUCUGGAUCCUGACUGUUUGACUUUUCCAUGAUUAGGAUAAGUAGCCAGGGCUUGGCUAGUUGGAGAGUUACUCGAACCUCAGGUGACAGUUGUAAGGCAGCACAUAGUGAAAAAGAGUCCUAGCCUGGGAAAGUCCAAAACCUUAGGUCUGGUUUCAGUUCACUCACCUAUCUCUGUGACAUAGCAAAGUCUGUUAAUUUCUCUAAUUUUCUGAUUAGUAGUAUAGUUGCAGGAAUGAAAUAAAAAUGGUCCUGAUUACUCAGAGAUUCAUUUACUGAUUACUCUUUUUGUGACCUGAAUAAAGAGUACAACAUCUCUCAAAAGGUAACAAUAUGAUGUUUCAGGAAAUUAGAGAAGUUAAGAGACUUUGCUGUAUUUACUAUACAGAUAGUUGACUGACAGCUGAGCCCGGACCCAAGAUUCAUUUAUAAAAUGAAGGAGUUGAGAAGUACAUACUCUGAGGUUUAUCCUAAAUAAACUGAAGUCUAGGCAAGUGGCUGAGCUAGGUUUGCCAUGAAUCAAUCUGCUGAGUAUAUUUCUUGGUAACUAGUUCAUCUUUCCUUAAUUCAGUCAACAAAUAUGAUAUCAAGUUUAGUAAGAUGAUGACAGUUGUCAUGUAAUACUCCAUCUGGAAGAUUGUAUGCUUCUCAGCUUCCCUAACUUUUCUUAAUCUACCUUAAGCUUCCUUUCUGAAAGGUUUCUGUCUUUCCUAACAGUCUCUUCUUUCCGCCAGCUACCUCUUGUGUUUAAGAAUUAAAGGAAGAUGAGCUAGGAAUCAAGAAAUACGCAGAACUGAUUCCUGUCACUGGCGCCACCCUGCCACUUGCCCAGAGCUGUGGUAUAAAUUUUUUUAAUAGGCUGAAAUAAAAAUAUGAAUAGCAUUUUGGUAUUAAGCAUUAAAUUGAUAAAGGCUAUGAGAUACACCUGCUCUCAACCAUGUUAAUUUUUUAUUAUUGGUAUUAAUAAAUUAUUACUUACUAACAUAUUAACAAGAAUUGCAUUGAGAAACAAAGCAUCCACAGGCCAAAUCUUCUGAAUUUCAAAUGUUUAUAUUAAUGCGUUGUAUUCUAGAAAAGUAGAAUUGUCUUAAGUAGCUUUGUAAUAUAAAGUCAUCUAUCAGCCCAUUACACCUAUUAGAAUGUUUUAACCUUUAUUUCCCACUUUUUUGUUUCUAGACUGAGUGUACUUGGUCUGGUAUUUGUGGCAUAACUUACGGAACACAUAAGAAUGAUACAGAUACUAUUUAAUGAUGACCUAAUACAAGCUUAGAUAGCUAAGGUGAAAGCUUCUAUGGCCUUAACAUUUUCCUCUUGAAGAAUGUAUUUUCUGUAAUAAAAUACAGUGGCUACUUGAAAUCUAUAAACUUAUGUGAGGUCUGGAUAAAUCUGAGCAACUUUCUUCUUUGUGCUCCAGGAACCUACGCACUAUAUAUAUAAAUAAAGCUUAAGUAAACAUCACUGCAA